rnacentral:antisense_RNA from 1 species
UUUUUUGUGUCACGUUUGAACAGAUAUCUUUGAGAAGUUUAUGAUUCUCCAAGUUCUCUUUCUCCUACUGUGGCACCUACUGACAAGAUAAAUGUGUAGAGGUUCCUGAGUCUAGGGGCACUAGAACCAGCUGACUGAUCUACAGAAGUUCCCUUGGUCUCCAUUUGUUUAGAAAAGGGAUGAAGAAACUGAGGCCCACAGAAGGUGGGUGAUACCUGCAAAAUCACAAACUUUCAUGGUGAAAGAAGAGGGCAAAACUCAACCCAUCUCUUUAGACUUGGGAAGAAUAUGAAAGGACCAGGAGGGACACCUUUCCUAAUAACCUAGCUGAUGGUUCACUUAUUGUAAGCACAUUCUCAAACAAGAGGCUGGAAAGCUAAAAAAUGACAUUCCCAGACUCCACUGGAAUUAGAUUUCCAGAGGUGAUUUAUAUUCCACACAUCAGAUGUAUAUGCUCAAGAUUUGUUUAACAGGGAAGGAGGCAGUGGUGUGUGGGUCCCUUUUGCUCAUGUGAAUCUUACAGAGUUGUCUCACUAAGCCCAAAUUUGUCUAACUGGCCUUAUUUCCCCAGAGUAUACCCUGGAAGUUUCCAUUCAAGCCAAUUUAAGUUACUUUAAAUUAGGAAAGGCAGAAAACAAAAGCCCAAACCUUUGUAAAGGAGGAGGAUUUGCUACAUUGUUCUCAAUUCAUCACAGAAUAGGAUGAAACUGAGUGACUAC